GACGAACGCUGGCGGCGUGCCUAAUACAUGCAAGUCGAACGCAGUGGGGACGGGUGAGUAACACGUGGGUAACCUCCCAUCAGAGGGGAUAACACUUGGAAACAGGUGCUAAACCGAUACUGAUGGAUGAACCCGCGGGGCAUUAGCUAGUUGGUGAGGGAACGGCUCACCAAGGCACCGAUGCAUAGACGACCUGAGAGGGGGAUCGGCCACACUGGGACUGAGACACGGCCCAGACUCCGACGGUAGGCAGCAGUAGGGAACUUGCCGCAAUGGCAGAAAGUCUGACCGAGCAAUGCCGCGUGAGUGAAGAAGGUUUUCGGAUUGUAAAACUCUGUUGUUAGUGAAGCGGUAUCUAACCAGAAAGCCACGGCUAACUACGUGCCAGCAGCCGCGGUAAUUC
rnacentral:rRNA from 1 species